rnacentral:rRNA from 1 species
CCUACGGGUGGCAGCAGUGAGGAAUAUUGCACAAUGGGCGAAACCCUGAUCCAGCGAAGCCGCGUGAGUGAAGACGUCUUUCGGUAUUUUAAGCUCUAUCAGUCAGGAAGCAAAUGACGGUACCUGAUUAAGAAGCCCCGACUAACUACGGACCAGCAGCCGCGGUAACACGUCGGGGGCAAGCGUUAUCCGGAUUUACUGGGUGUAAAGGGAGCGUAGACGGCAGCACAAGUCUGGAGUGAAAUGCCGGGGCUUAACCCCGGAACUGCCUUGGAAACUGGGCACCUUGAGUGCAGGAGAGGUAAGCGGAAUGCGUGGUGUAGCGGUGAAAUGCGUAGAUAUCAGGAGGAACACCAGUGGCGAAGGCAGCUUACUGGACUGUAACUGACGUUGAGGCUCGAAGGCGUGGGGAGCAAACAGGAUUAGAUACCCUUGUAGUC